UGUGACGCUGUCAUGCACACGGCACACAACUUCAUGAGGGGAGGGAGGGGCUGGAGGCAGCUCCUCUGUGUGCACUGUAAAAAAUACACCAUUGUGUGUCU